GACGAACGCUGGCGGCGUGCCUAAUACAUGCAAGUCGAACGCAGUGGGGACGGGUGAGUAACAAGUGGGUAACCUCCCAUCAGAGGGGAUAACACUUGGAAAAAGGUGCUAAACCGAUACUGAUGGAUGAACCCGCGGUGCAUUAGCUAGUUGGUAAGGUAACGGCGCACCAAGGCCACGAUGCAUCGCCGACCUGAGAGGGCGAUCUGCCACACUGGGACUUAGAAACUGCCCAGACUCCUCCGGCAGGAAGCAGUAGGGAAUCUUCGGCAAGGGACGAAAGUCUUACCGAGCAACGCCGCGGUGGUGAAGAAGGUUUUCGGAUCGUAAAACUCUGUUGUUAGAGAAGCGGUAUCUAACCAGAAAGCCACGGCUAACUACGUGCCAGCAGCCGCGGUAAUAC
rnacentral:rRNA from 1 species